UGCGUAGGCGGGUUUCUAAGUCAGAGGUGAAAGCCUGGAGCUCAACUCCAGAACUGCCUUUGAUACUGGAAGUCUUGAGUAUGGCAGAGGUGAGUGGAACUGCGAGUGUAGAGGUGAGAUUCGUAGAUAUUCGCAAGAACACCAGUGGCGAAGGCGGCUCACUGGGCCAUUACUGACGCUGAGGCACGAAAGCGUGGGGAGCAAACA
rnacentral:rRNA from 1 species